rnacentral:rRNA from 1 species
UACGUAGGGUGCGAGCGUUGUCCGGAAUUAUUGGGCGUAAAGAGCUCGUAGGCGGUGUGUCACGUCGGCCGUGAAAACCUGCAGCUUAACUGUGGGCGUGCGGUCGAUACGGGCAUCACUGGAGUUCGGCAGGGGAGACUGGAAUUCCUGGUGUAGCGGUGAAAUGCGCAGAUAUCAGGAGGAACACCGGUGGCGAAGGCGGGUCUCUGGUCCACAACUGACGCUGAGGUGCGAAAGCUAGGGGAGCAAACGGG